AGGCAAGCGGAUCUCUUAAAGCNGUUCUCAGUUCGGACUGCAGUCUGCAACUCGACUGCACGAAGCUGGAAUCGCUAGUAAUCGCGGAUCAGCACGCCGCGGUGAAUACGUUCCCGGGCCUUGUACACACCGCCCGUCACACCAUGGAAGUCUGCAAUGCCCGAAGCCGGUGGCCUAACCACUUAUGUGGAAGGAGCCGUCUAAGGCAGGGCAGAUGACUGGGGUGAAGUCGUAACAAGGUACC
rnacentral:rRNA from 1 species